GAUGAACGCUGGCGGCGUGCCUAAUACAUGCAAGUAGAACGCUGAAGGAAGGAGCUUGCUCUUUCCGGAUGAGUUGCGAACGGGUGAGUAACGCGUAGGUAACCUGCCUGUUAGCGGGGGAUAACUUUGGGAAACGGUAGCUAAUACCGCAUAAUAUUUUAUGUUGCAUGGUUCCAACUUAAAAGAUGCACUUGCUCUCCACCCUGAUGGACUUGCGUUGUAUUAGCUAGUUGGUGAGGUAACGGCUCACCAAGGCGACGAUACAUACCCAACCUGAGAGGGUGAUCGGCCAAAAUGGGACUGGGAAACGGGCCAGAACCCUACGGGAGGCAGCAGUAGGGAAUCUUCGGCAAUGGACGGAAGUCUGACCGAGCAACGCCGCGUGAGUGAAGAAGGGUUUCGGAUCGUAAAGCUCUGUUGUAAGAGAAGAACGAGAGUGAGAGUGGAAAGUGCACACUGUGACGGUAUCUUACCAGAAAGGGACGGCUAACUACGUG
rnacentral:rRNA from 1 species